rnacentral:tRNA from 1 species
UCCCCGGUAGCUCAGUUGGUUAGAGCGGAUGACUGUUAAUCAUUAGGUCGGAGGUUCAAGUCCUCUCCGGGGAG